UACGUAGGGUGCAAGCGUUGUCCGGAAUUAUUGGGCGUAAAGAGCUCGUAGGCGGUCUGUCGCGUCGAAUGUGAAAACCCGGGGCUCAACCCCGGGCUUGCAUUCGAUACGGGCAGACUAGAGUUCGGUAGGGGAGUCUGGAAUUCCUGGUGUAGCGGUGAAAUGCGCAGAUAUCAGGAGGAACACCGGUGGCGAAGGCGGGACUCUGGGCCGAUACUGACGCUGAGGAGCGAAAGCGUGGGGAGCAAACAGG
rnacentral:rRNA from 1 species